AGAGGGAGCCUGAGAAACGGCUACCACAUCUAAGGAAGGCAGCAGGCGCGCAAAUUACCCAAUCCUAAUACAGGGAGGUAGUGACAAGAAAUAACAAUACAGGACUUUUUGGUUUUGUAAUUGGAAUGAGUUAAGUAUAAACCCCUUUACAAGUAUCAAUUGGAGGGCAAGUCUGGUGCCAGCAGCCGCGGUAAUUCCAGCUCCAAUAGCGUAUAUUAAAGUUGUUGCAGUUAAAAAGCUCGUAGUUGGAUUUCUGUUAAUAAUUUAUAUAAAAUAUUUUGAUGAAUAUUUAUAUAAUAUUAACAUAAUUCAUAUUACUAUAAUAUAUUUUAGUAUAUGAAAUUUUACUUUGAGAAAAUUAGAGUGCUUAAAGCAGGCAUAUGCCUUGAAUACUCCAGCAUGGAAUAAUAUUAAAGAUUUUUAUCUUUUUUAUUGGUUCUAAGAUAAGAAUAAUGAUUAAUAGGGACAGUUGGGGGCAUUUGUAUUUAACAGUCAGAGGUGAAAUUCUUAGAUUUGUUAAAGA
rnacentral:rRNA from 1 species